GCCUCCGUGGCGUAAAUGGCAGCGCGUUCGGCUGUUAACCGGAAGGUUGAUGGUUCGAGACCAUCCGGGGGCG
rfam:Habropoda laboriosa contig7982, whole genome shotgun sequence.